rnacentral:tRNA from 1 species
GAGGAUAUAGCUCAGUGGUAGAGCACAUGCUUAGCAUGCAUGAGGUCCUGGAUUCAAUCCCCAGUACCUCCU